rnacentral:rRNA from 1 species
GACGAACGCUGGCGGCAUGCUUAACACGUGCAAGUCGAACGGGAACUUCCUGCUUAGUGGCGCUCGGGUGGGUAACGACUGGUAACCUACACUUAGGUAAGCAAUCAUUCACCGUAAGGGGAGCUCAUAAAAGUUAAUGUCUUAGGAGAAAAGAUGUCUCGCCUUAGGAUGGGGCCGGGUUGGAUUCGCGGGUUGGUAGGGUAAUAGCCUACCAAGGCGACGAUCCAUAGCUGGUCUGGUAGGAUGACCAGCCCGAGUUGGCCUGAGACACGGGCCAGACUCCGACGGGGGGCAGCAGUGGGGAAUAUUGGGCAAGGGGCGAAAGCCUGGUCCAGCAAUGCCGCGGGAGAGAGGAAGGCCUUAGGGUUGUAAAUCUCUUUGUCCCGAGAUGAUAAUGACAGUACCGGGAGAAUAAGCUCCGGCUAACUCCGUG